ACUGAGUGGCAGACGGGUGAGUAACAUGUGGGAAUCUGCCUUGUGGUUCAGGACAACAUUGGGAAACCGAUGCUAAUACUGGAUAAGCCCUUACGGGGAAAGUUUUAAUGCCAUAAGAUGAGCCCGCAUUUGAUUAGUUAGUUGGUGAGGUAAUGGCUCACCAAGACAAUGAUCAAUAGCUGAUCUGAGAGGAUGAUCAGCCACACUGGGACUGAGACACGGCCCAGACUCCUACGGGAGGCAGCAGUGGGGAAUCUUGCACAAUGGAGGAAACUCUGAUGCAGCGAUGCCGCGUGAGUGAAGAAGGCCUUUGGGUUGUAAAGCUCUUUUGUAGGGGAAGAUAAUGACUGUACCCUAAGAAUAAGGUCCGGCUAACUUCGUGCCAGCAGCCGCGGUAAUACGAAGGGACCUAGCGUAGUUCGGAAUUACUGGGCGUAAAGCGCGCGUAGGCCGUUGAGUUAGUUAAUUGUGAAAUCCCAAAGCUUAACUUUGGAACUGCAAUUA
rnacentral:rRNA from 1 species